rnacentral:rRNA from 1 species
UACGUAGGGCGCAAGCGUUAUCCGGAAUUAUUGGGCGUAAAGAGCUCGUAGGCGGUUUGUCGCGUCUGCCGUGAAAGUCCGGGGCUCAACUCCGGAUCUGCGGUGGGUACGGGCAGACUAGAGUGAUGUAGGGGAGACUGGAAUUCCUGGUGUAGCGGUGAAGUGCGCAGAUAUCAGGAGGAACACCGAUGGCGAAGGCAGGUCUCUGGGCAUUAACUGACGCUGAGGAGCGAAAGCGUGGGGAGCGAACAGG